rnacentral:tmRNA from 1 species
GGGGAUGAAAGGAUUUCGACAGGGUUGGCGAGCCUUGAUCAGCGAGUAGCGGAGUUGCACCGCUUAAAAAGUAACAACUUAAAAAUUAACUGAUAAUAAUAAAUCAGUAGCUCUUGCUGCGUAAUUAGCAGCUUGCGUUCUGCCGAAGAGUGCCACGGCUUCGGACAGGGCGUCGACUUAGUGGCGAACAUGAACAGGAGAGUGUCUCGGCUCUUGUCAGGUAUCAGAGAAUACCGUAGCGCAUAGGCUGA